UACAUAUUAGAAACCACGCUUAGCAGGGAUAUAUUUCAACAAAAAAUUCUUUUAACAACAACCAAAAAACAAACAAACAAAUCAAGUGAAAGUGCUUUUAUGUGUUUACAUAUUCUGCGGUAACAGUUUUUGGGCGAAUGCAUGUUGGCAUCAUUUGAGCAUCAAAUUAAAGUUAAUUAUUCGAAUCAAUUAUUCAAGCUUGGGUUCUACUAGCGUUAUUUUGAGACUUGGCAGAAAGACUUUUUAGCGUUGGCGUUCAGAUCCGAGUAUUAGCAGCCGUCAUUGACGUGAUUCCUACCUUCCAGUACUGAAUCGGAGCAAGAUCAGGAAAUUUAGAGAAAGAGGGGCACAACAGUUUCUACAAUGUUUCACGUUCAUCGCUUCAGAACAGAGUAUCUACGCUUCAGAUUGGACUCAUUCGGAGGUGAUUCGGAAGGAUAAAGCUUCCAUCUGAUUCUUUCGGUUUCGAGUUUACUUCUCCAGUCUUUGUUUAAGGCAAGUUGAGACUUUUCUUAGACUCUUUUUCAACGUGUUUAUUUGAAUAUUUGUUUGUUAUGUGUAAUGGGAGUAAUGAAAACUCGGGGGGUCCCGUAUAGAUGAUUGUGACCGAAGUUGCUUGGACUCUCCAAAAACGUUGCCGCAUCUGUGUCGGAUCCUUCAGAAAUACACUAUUUUUGGAGGAUCCGACACGCACCUGUAGACAUUUUUAAAGAGUCCGAGAAACUUAGAUUGUGACGAGCAUCUAUGCGGUUGCAGGUGUUGUUUGAGGGGAUAAAAUAAGUUAAUUGUAUGUUUGAACUGUUUUCCCCUAUGUGCUAGUCCGAUGGACUGAUUGGUUAUGGUACAUAAAUUAGUGAAAAAGUUGGUUAAUGAUGAUACUUGUACUUGAUAAGUUAACUUUGAAAUUGAUGUCUGAUCUGGUUUUAAGAUAAGAAGUGCUUUGCUUGAUUUUAUUGAUUAUUUGGGGUUGGAGUUGCACGUCUGCACAUCAUGCAUUGCAUUUUAUAUGAGAUCGGAGUGCACCCCUGCACAAAUAUUUAUUGGGAUCGGAGUGCAGCCCUACGCAGUAUAUUUAUUGGGAGUGGAGUGCAUGCCUGAACAAUAUACAUAUUGGGGUCGGAAUGCACGCCUGUAUAGUAUAUGCAUUUGCAUUGAUUCAGAUUGGUUAAAGUAUAUUUGUUGACCUUGUACUUAUUAUGUAUGUGUUAUUUAUUUCCCUGGAUUGAGAAAUUCUUGGAUUGUGGUAUGAUAUGCUUAUGACUGUUAAACUUGACUAUUCAGCUAGAUUAAGGUGGCCUUUCUGAGUGCAGGUUGUGUGUUUGUUUUUAGAUGAUUUAUGUGGUGUCACUCGUCACCACUUUGAAUUAGGGUCGGUCGACGAUGCUUGCUGAGUACACGUGGUUCCUUACUCACUCUUGCUUUUUCUGCAACCUACGUGCAAGUACAGAUCUGACGACCUCUGAAUAUUGAUCCCUGUGGUUCCUCUUUGCUAGCAUCAUCGGUGAUUCGAGGUAGUCGCCACUGGCUUUAGAGACUACUGAAAUCUCCUUCAGCCUUAUUCUUAUGCAUUUUCCGCAUUUUGAAAGACUCAAAUUUUCUUUUGUUUCUAUAUUUUAGUGGCUUGUAUUAGUGACUUUCAGACCUGAGACCAUCUACGAAUUGAUUUUACUAGUCUAUUUAUCUACUUUUGAGAUUAUUCAGGAUUGGUUAUAUUCUUACUUUCUUCCGUUUCUAUGAGUUUGAGACGUUCUUGGAAUUUCGUUUUUGGCUUACCUAUCAGGGAGGAUGGAAUAGGUGCCAUCAUGGUCCCGAAUUUUGGGCUGUGACAGAUGUACACCAGACAUUAGAGCAGUGACAAAAACCGCAACUGAAAUCUUUUCCGGAAAGCUUUCCAUGGCUUUAGAUAUGACGAAUCCACUAAAUCUAUAACCUACAAGAACCACUUUUUCACGUGCAGGAAGAGAAGCCAUGAACUCCAUUAGCCGACUGAAGUAAACAGAUAAAUGUGGGAUUUCAAGGACCUGCUUCGGGUUGAUCCCUGAAGCAUACCUGUGACAUUAUGCCCCGAAGAUCCCAUCAAUGCCAUAAUCUUGUACCAAGAUCGGGCUCCAUCGCAUCCCCACGAAGUGUUUGUUAGCUUUAGGGCAUCUAGGCUUGGACAGCAUUGCAUUGCCAUACGGCAAGAGAAGUAUCAGAAAUCAGGUAUUUGCUUUUCUCAAUAGUUUUUUUCCUUUCUUUUGAACUAUGAGCUGUUGUAAACAUGGGAUCAUAUAAUUAGAGGAGUUGACUUUUACAACUUCCAUGAUGAAGAAACCCCAGGUGAAAAUGAGGUAUUGAGUUGUAUUUUCUAAUUAGCAUCCACUAAGUCAAUUAGAUGAAGAUGUUCUAAUUAAUUGAAUUAUUGAUCCUAAAGAUUUUAGCCA